CAACCACAGACAAGGCUCUUUGGGAUGUGGACUGAGGCUGUGACCAGAACUAGAGCAAGAGUCUAGAGCAAGACAGACGGACAGGCAUCUCAUCUGUCUUGCCCGGCUGAGCACCCAGAACAGACGGUGACCCAGAGCAGGACCAGUGGAUGUUUGUUAAGUGAAGGAAGGAGAAGAGUCAUCAAGCAAAGAAGGAAGAGUAAGAGGAAAAGGUAUUUACCCAAGAGAAUGAAAGCCACCAAGUGACCAUCAGGAAUGUGCACGAAAAUGGUCAUCACAGCUAAAAACUGAAAACUACUCUAACAUCCAACUACUGAAGAGAGGAGAAUUAUUGAUGGCAUCUUCCUUCAAUGAAAUACUACACAGCAAUGAAAAAGAAGAAAUUCCCAAUACAGGCAACUGGGAUGCAUGGAUCUCACAAACAAUGCUGAAAGAAAGGGAGAGAGAAUGAGUAUAUACUAUGUGGUCCCACUUAAAUAAAGCUCAAGGAUGCAGAUGGAGAAUGGAGUGGAGAGUGCAGAGGAGAACCAGGACAACCAUUUGGGAGGCUUUUGUAACACCCUGGGUGAGAGAGGAUGAGCAAACCAACAGGAAACAGGUGCCAGGUGUAGGCUCAUCCUGCAUGCUGCAAGAGGUCAGAGGAACUCAGUGGUGUGGGCAGGUGGGGGAGGCUUUUAGGAGGAGAAAGA